rnacentral:lncRNA from 1 species
GGGGGUCAUAAAUCACUGGCUGAUGGUCAGACUACCUGCUGGGAUAAUUAAAGGUGAUCAACCAGGUGUUUUAAAUCUUUUAACAGGUAGAAGGUUUCAUGUCUUGAUUACAUAAUAUUUAGAUGUACAGGUAAAUUUUACCUGUGUUUGUCUUUGCAUUAUUAAGAAAAAAUACAACUUUUAUUAUGCUUUUCUGUUAUUUUGUC